rfam:TPA: Bos taurus chromosome 10, whole genome shotgun sequence.
GGGAAACGGGUUGAGGGGCCAGCCCCAGGCCCCAACAAUGAUUGGGACA